CGGUCCGCAGCAGCAGACCUCAUUGAUCGAGUCCCUUCUUCCAUCCCCUUGACCUGCUCCCUGUAGGAAGUCAUCCUGCCAACUGAUUCAAAAGGGCUCUUUAGCCAGCUGUUGCCAACCUUAUAGGGAUGAGUCCCCUGUAAGAUUUUGCUUUUCCACUGCCUGGGAUGACUGGCAGUUUGAAGAGGCCCUUGGACCUCCUUGUAGCAUCAGGGACCUUUGGAGACCAUAUCAGUGUAAGCCCUGCUUAGCUCAUCUUAGAGCAAAGAGCCAGCACCCUGAUGUCCCCAGGGUGGCUGGGCAGGAGUGGCAUGGGGCCAAUACCCAGACCCCUUCAGCCACCAGCCCCUGGCCUGUGCCUUCCAACCCAUUAGCCAUUUCUUGUUGUGCCCCUUUCCAAGAUACAGCCUGCAAGUGGCAGCAAGAAGUGGUGAUUAGAGGCAGAUCUGGACUUGGCAACAGAAAUGGUUUCCCAUCACCAUUGUCUGAGUCUGACUUUUGCUGAUGCUGUUUUGUGGAUUUUUAUGGUAGUGAUGGUUGUUGAUGCUGCCAGUUUCCCAAAAAAUAAUCAAGCCUCUGGCCGCAUGUCUGUCGAUGUAGGCAUUCUUGAGUGGUGUUCAGCCACGCGGCCUGGGCAGAAUUGGGCUGUGGAAUUGUCAGGAACCCACUUCCAGGCUUGGAUGUGAUUUUUGCUCUAGAGAGAAGCAAGUGGUGGGGAGGAGGUAGCAUGACGUGUGGCGUGUGGGGCUUCCUUGCUGCCGUCACCUCUCCACUCAUACGGGAAUGAAGCCUUAGCCAGGAGGCCAGGCUGAGCCCUGUGCCACUCACCGAAGCCACACUCUGCAGGCCAGCAGGGGCUUGUUUCAGGUUGUGGGUUUUGGUGUGGUUUGUCAGAGGCUAAUUCUGCAGAGUUGCCAAAACCAGAAGACGUCGUAUGCUUGGGAUGGGGGCCGUGCCACCUGUGGGAAUGCUGCCCGCUCUGCAGAUUGCUGCUAGAGCCAGCAACUUCACUAAGGUGGAUUUUCGUCAGAGGCCUGCAGGGGCCUCCCUUUUCCCAUUGUUCCUGUGCUGCAAACUGUAGGCCCCAGCAAUCGUGACUGACGUUGACUCCUUGACUCCAAGAAACCGAGACCAAAGAAGCUGCUGUUCUUAGCAAGAUGCGCACUGCAUUCCGCAGACGGGAGGAGUCGGAGAGGCAGGGGGCUUGCUUUCAGCCUCACAGACAACAGUUGCACAGCGCCUCAAGUCCCAGAGUGACUCACCCUGUCCAGACCUUUGAGGAUAUCAAAGAAUAAAGUGCCCAAGUCUUUCCUACCUUGGGGGAACCUGGAACUUGGAAAGGCUCCCUGUCCUAGUCUUGGUCUGUUCUGGGCCAGGUCCCAGCUUGAGCUGCCUCUGAGAUUUGGGCUGUGCGGAUCUCUGGAGUGAGCUCUGUUUCGGUUGACCCAGGUCAUGGAAUGGAAACGGUGAGGCCCCAGUGGCUGUUCUGGAAGAAACAGAUCUCCUGGCAAAGGCCCAGGCAUCUCCCUCACUGAAAUCAGGUUCCCUGCUCCUUGGACUCUGCUUUAUCUCACGGUCAGAGAGCACCAUCCCAGGGGUCAGGGCCUCCCCACAGAAGCCCUGCAGUGUGGUGGCAUCAUGGCUGGCUUGAACCAAGCAAAGGAAGGACCCUGAAGCCUUCACGCUAACCCUCCUUGAGCAGCCGCUGUUGGAAGGCCCCCUGGGCCUGGCCCCCCCGGCCACCCAGUCCUCCCAGCUGCCAUGUUUCAAAGACGCCUUUACCUCCUGCCUUUGGAUUGACUGCAUUUGACCAUGGACUCCAGUCUGUGUAGGGAGAGAGCUGAGUAGGAGACCUCCGCUCCGGAUCGAGGUUUGUACAGGGCUCGUUUCCCCACACAUGCCUGUUUCUGAAGAGGCUCCUGUCUUAUUUGAAGGCCGGCCCACACCCAGCUACUUUAACAUCAGGUUUAUGGAAAAUGUCAGGCCUUCCCCACAACUCCCGUGUAACUGGUAUCACUCCCCUACUUGCUGGCUCUCGGAAGCCCAGGGGAGUCCCUGUGCUCCUGAAUUCUUUCCCCAGAGAUGACCAGCAUUUAACCAACCUAAGGGCCCAAAGGCCUUGGAUAGCUGCAUGGAGCUGUGGUCUAGGAGAGGGAGGGGCACCAGAUGCUAGGUCAGGGGAGGGGGCAGGAGUGUCCCUCCCGUCAGUGCCUACCCACCUGUGAGGCAGCCUUCUGAUGGCCUGGCCCACAUUCCCCAGAACCAGGGGAGGCCUGAGGCUUCAGUUUUGCUCUGCUGCAAAAUGAAGGCAGGCCCACAAGCCGACUGCACCUAGGGAGGCUGUUGAGGACAAUUUCAUUCCAUUAAAUUAAAAAAUACUGACUGGCUGGCAGGCAGGUGCCACAUCUGGGAACAGGGACGGGGGAGCUUCACCUUUUUGUCUUGGCUUUUCAUUGGGCUGUAGGGGGGGCAUCCAUUCCCAGGGUGGGGGAGGAAAUACCAAAUGCAUUGUUGUUCUGCUCAAUACAUCUCACUUGUUUCUAAUAAAGAAAGCAGCU
rnacentral:lncRNA from 1 species